UGGCUCAGAACGAACGCUGGCGGCGCGUUUAAGCAUGCAAGUCGAGCGGCAAGGGCCUUCGGGCCCCUAGAGCGGCGGACGGGUGAGUAACACGUGGACAAUCUGCCCCCCGGCCCGGGAUAGCCCAGGGAAACCUGGAUUAAUACCGGAUGAGACGGGACCCGCGAAGGCGGGACCCGGGAAAGGCGCUGCGGCGCCGCCGGGGGAUGAGUCUGCGUCCCAUUAGCUAGACGGCGGGGUAACGGCCCACCGUGGCGACGAUGGGUAGCCGGCCUGAGAGGGUGGACGGCCACAUUGGAACUGAGACACGGUCCAGACUCCUACGGGAGGCAGCAGCUAAGAAUCUUCCGCAAUGGGCGAAAGCCUGACGGAGCGACGCCGCCGUGAACGAAGAAGGCCGUGAGGUUGUAAAGUCCUUUUCGGGAGGGGGAACAACCGUGGCAGGGAAUGGCCGCGGGAUGACGUGAAUCCCGGAAUAAGCCCCGGCUAACUACGUGCCAGCAGCAGC
rnacentral:rRNA from 1 species